GAUGAACGCUGGCGGCGUGCCUAAUACAUGCAAGUCGAGCGAACAGACGAGGAGCUUGCUCCUCUGACGUUAGCGGCGGACGGGUGAGUAACACGUGGAUAACCUACCUAUAAGACUGGGAUAACUUCGGGAAACCGGAGCUAAUACCGGAUAAUAUAUUGAACCGCAUGGUUCAAUAGUGAAAGACGGUUUUGCUGUCACUUAUAGAUGGAUCCGCGCCGCAUUAGCUAGUUGGUAAGGUAACGGCUUACCAAGGCGACGAUGCGUAGCCGACCUGAGAGGGUGAUCGGCCACACGGGAACUGAGACACGGACCAGACUCCUACGGGAGGCAGCAGUAGGGAAUCUUCCGCAAUGGGCGAAAGCCUGACGGAGCAACGCCGCGUGAGUGAUGAAGGUCUUCGGAUCGUAAAACUCUGUUAUUAGGGAAGAACAAAUGUGUAAGUAACUAUGCACGUCUUGACGGUACCUAAUCAGAAAGCCACGGCUAACUACGUG
rnacentral:rRNA from 1 species